UUUUUUUUUUUUUUCCAGCUGCACCAAGCCAUAUGUGGACUCUUAGUUCCUCAACCAGGAAUUGAACCCACACCCUCUGCAUUAGAAGCUCAGAGUCUAACCACUGGACCAUCAGGGAAGUCCUGCCCAGCACUUUUUGAGUUUCCAUAGAGUUAAGGGUCCACUGUGGCUGAGGAGGAAAGCACAGUUCUCUGUACAGAAGGUAGAAGGUAGGACUGUCUCCCUCUCUGCUCAUUUCUCUCUCUCUCUUUAUCUCUCUCUCCAUCGCUUUCUCUGCCUAUGCGUAACUGGAAACUAUUGUUUGGCUUUCUAUAACUAAAACUAACAGUCUCACUUCUUUAGGGCUUUCCUAUUAGUCAGAAGCAUACAAGACAGAACAGCCCUGGAUGUAAAUCCACCAUCACUAGCUUUGUAACUUUGCCAAGUCAACUCACUCAGUUUGCCCAUCUGUAAAUUGGAAACAAUGACAUUCAUUUCCCAGAGUUUUUGUGAGAAUGAAAUGAGAUGGUGGAUUAUAAAGGGCUGGGCCUUUUGUCUGGAUUAAGAAAUGCCUAGAAAAGCAAAUUUCCUUUGUUCC
rnacentral:lncRNA from 1 species